rnacentral:ncRNA from 1 species
AAAACGCAGAUGGGGAGCUGGUGCAAAGCCGGCUGAGAGUAGGCUGUAUGCCUUGACCCUUAAACCUGAUUUGGAUAAUGCCAACGUAGGGAAUGCGCUCCGACCGUGCA